rnacentral:ncRNA from 2 species
AAAAGAGUAAGGGAAAAACGUUAAGUGCUAGGUGGAUGGGAUGUUGCCACUAGACGAAAAAACAAAUGUUUUGCGAUUUUUCUCUGCAUCCGCUUUA